GUUCCAAGCCUAGCCUCUAUUUAAGAGAUUCAUCACUCACAUUUUCAGAACCCUUGGAAUUUUGCUUGAACCUGUGUACUCUCUCUAUUGCAAUCUCUCCCCUCACCCUACUCAAAGCUUUUUUCUCUCCUAGAAGCCAUUGAAGCUUCACAUAGAAGCUUCAAUUUUGCUUGAGCUAAGCCACUGCAUCCUUACUUUCACUGUUCUAGUUCAGAAGAAGAAGAAGGAAACGAAGGAGGAAGAAGAAGAAAGAAUCAAGCUCAAGAACUCAACGGUGGAUAUUUCCGAUCAUCUUCUCCGGCAUGUCAUUUCCUAUUUCGUGUCAUUUUCUUUCUUUGAGCUCACCAGGAGGUAGUAUCUAGGGUAGGAAGUAGAAGCCACAUAGUGUGAAAGUUUGAUUCGCACCGUGCGCCAUUUAAUUUGACUUGUAGAUAGCUAGGGUUCUUCCACUUAACCGUGUGAUUCAACUGAUAUAAAGACGGUUUCCCAAUUCCAUUUCCAUAUUCAGGAUUAGCUUGUCAUUAUGCAUCCCUUAGUGGUAAUGUGAAGUGGUUAACCGGUACCGGCACCGGCGACGAACGCUGGUGCGGUGAGCCAAAGUGACCAGAGGUGAGAACGAGCGCACGCAUGAAGAAUAGUUUAAAUUCUAUUGACUUGGACAAGUCAACAUAAGAGAGUUUUGGGCUCAGUCUUGGUUAGGCCCAUGGAAUUACUUGCCACACACCGUGUAUCACUGAUACACCCCCACUGGCCAUUAGAAGAAGUAGAACUAGGCUUAAUCAAGCCCAUUAACCUUUUUUGCUAAUCACCCUGUAUUACUAGUAUGCACCCCCUAGAAAUGUUUGAGAUGUGGCAUUGGGCUCAAACGUAGCCUAUGCCUGUUUUUGUUCACACGCCACCUUUUUUUGGACAUUGCUUCCUGCACCAAAAAAUUGCAUUGGGCUCAUCCUGCAGCCUAUAGCCAAAUGCAGUGUAUACCUCCUUUUCCAUUUCACACCUCCUGAUUCAAUUAUUUUUUCUUUUAUUUUCUUAAUUGUUUUUUUACAAUCUAAUUAGGUUAAUUAGCAAAAUAUUAGGUUUAAUUAGGAUUUUUCCUUAGAAUUUUAAUUAGGAUUUUGAUUAGGUUUAAUUAGAAACAAUUAGGCUUUGAUUCAAUUUAGAAUUACCUCAUUCUCAACAUUAGGUUAGGAUCCACAUUAGGAUUUAAUCAACUUUAGACCAUAGAAUUUGACAUAUUUUGCAAAUGACCAUUUUACCCUUGUGGGUUUAUUUGUUAUUUUAGUGAUAGAAUGACAUGAUCCCAUUAGAACUGGAAUUCGACAUUAGGAUUUAACCAUUUUUCUUACAAUUGGAGAUCCAUUUUAGGACUUAUACCUAGGACUUUUAAUUGUGAUUUUUACUAAUAUGUACAUGCUCCCUUAGGACUUCUAACUUAGAAUUUUCAAUCAAUUUUAAUAAAUCAAUGCAUGAACCCUUAGGAUAGUUUCUAACAAUUACUAACUUUGAUUAGAUCUAAACCUAGUUCCCUAAUAACAAAACAAAACUCAUGCUUAAAUUGAUCAAAAGAAAUUUUGAUCAAUUAAAUCCUUUGAACUUGUAUAAUCCCACAAUCUAAAUUGAGUGACCAAAAGACCCUUGGUCACUUAAAUAAGACUUUUCUUCUAAGUUGUGGAGCUCAAGGCCUCAAGACAAGAUCUUCAAUCAAGGCAUCCUCAGUCAUAACAAGCAUCGGAUUAUUCAAGCAAUCAAAGGUGGCAUCUUCAAGAACUUAUUAAAUCAAAGUUAGAAGAGUGUGACACGAGCCUUAAGCAAUAGAGAAGGAGUGAACCUGUAGUAUUCCUACCCCCAUUCUGAGUAUCUUUGGGUAUGGGACGUAUGACCCAGCGCUCAUCCUAUUCACCUCUAUUCAUAGACUUUAGCACAAUUCUAAUCAUACGAUUGACAAGUCUCUCUCUCUUCACAAAACAAUACAACAAGAAAGGCCUACAUCAACAACUUAUCAAUCAUGAAUCAAGUUGUUCGAUACGAGCCUUAAGCAAUAGAGAAAGAGUGGGACUGGAGUAUUCCUACCCCCAUUCUAAGUACCUUUGGGUAUGGGACGAAUGACCCAAUGCUCAUCGUAUUCACCUCUAUUCAUAGACUUUAGUGCAAUUCGAAUCGAACGAUUGAUAAAGUCUUCAUCAAUGCAAGAAAUAACUACAAAGAUUCUCCUCUCUCCACUUGAAAGUUAAGACGAAAGUUACAUGCCACGAGCCUUAAGCGGUAAAGAAGGAAUGAGGUUGGAGCUUUCCUACACUCAUUCUGGAUAUCUUUGGGUAUGGGACGUAUGACCCAGCGCUUAUCGUAUCCACCUUUAUUCAUAGACUUUAGUGUGAUUCUUAUUCUACAACUAUCAAGUCUAUUCAUCCUCCAUUCUAAUCAAUCAUUCUAUCCUCUCUUUUGCCUCUAUCAUCUUGUUUUCAGCCCUAGUGGGCUUAACUACGAAAGAUCUGAUUUCCUUAUUGCACUAUAAGGAUACGUAGACAGGAGAACCCAGUUUCUUCGCGAGCUAUCUUAUCUAUAUCUUAUUUAUCAAUCUACCUCACCCAUUUAUCACCCAAUCAUUCUACCAAUGCCAUAUUUUUGAGAUCAAUCAUACUUCUCCUUGGACUCUUUGUCUAUCCUUUUAGGACGAUAACGAUAGUCCACCUCCUCAAUCGAGAGUUAUUUGGCCCGUAACCCAAAUAUUUAAUUCAUUCUUUUUCGGCUAAGACACCAUUUUUCUCUUUGAUUAAGAGUCUAUCCUUCUCUUGGAUCCAAGCUACUAUCCUUAUUUGGUCUCGAAUUGUUGAUUCCCCAGCAAGUGAUAUACUAUUCCUUGUACUAUCCAUUACUACAAUCCUUCCUUGAAGAGGUGUUUGUCUUGUGAGUCCCCAUUGCUUAAACAAGUGUCUCUCUCUUUCUAUUCUCGUAGUUCCGAACUACGAUUACUCUGAAUUUCUCAUUGCACAAUGAGAAUAUGUAGGCACGAGGAUGCAAAUCCUUGGCGAGCAUACUUCUAAUUAUUCCUCCUUCUCCUUAGGGAAUCAUCCAUAUCUUUCACUAUUCAUUACCUACCUUCGAUCAUAAAUCGUUCACCCAGUGACAUAUUAUUCCUUUGACAUCGAAAUACACUUUCUUUGGAAUUCCAUAUCUACCCUUUUAGAACGCCUAACGAAAAGUCCGCAUUUCUACCUAGAGUUGUUUGGCCCUUAACCCAAACACUUAAUUCCUUCAUUUUAUCUAAACACCCUAUAGUGGCGGCCUGCUAGUCCACAUAACGGUUAAAGUUGUUUACCUCUAUGGUAGAAAUAUCGUUUCUCUUAUGGAUUCCAAUACACUUUCACCUUUCGAUUUCAAACAAUACUUAUUCAGUCACUUGUUACCAAGUACCUCUAUUUUGUGACUUCGGUCACUUCAUUACAUUUAUCUCCAUGAUACACUCGUAUUCUACCUUCAUUCACUCCGCGUGAUAUAUCUAUUCUCUGAGUCAAAUACAUUAUACCUUUGUGCUCCAUCUUGUACCUCCUUGUGAACCAAGAGUUGUUUGGCCCUUAACCCAAACACCUAAUUCAUUAUUUUUUUGGUUGUUCCAAUAUAGUGAUACAAGCGCUGUAGGCCCUCACUUGUUAGUUCAUACUGUUCACUCUUGGGUUCACAUCUUUUCACCCUUGUUGGAGUUUAAAACACUAUUCUUUGGUUCAGACCAUACCUUGAUCACAAUUCUUUUCACCUCCCGCCUCUAGGUCCUUGAACUACAAAGCUUUGAAUUCCUCAUUGCACUAUGAGGAUACGUAGGCAUGAGGGCCCUAAUACUCACCGAGCACUCUAUCUAUUUAUCUUCCUUACCUCAUUCUUUUGCGAGUAAUCUUUAGAUAUCACAUCUAUUCGAGCGAGGACAAUCAAAACGGUUCCCAUGGACCAUGGUUGUUUGCGGUGCUAAUACAUUCCCAUUGCAUAACUGACUUCCUUACCCAUCAUAUCUCUUUCCCCCGGGGAUAAAUAAAGUUCAAUGGCGACUCUGUUGUAUGUUCGAGCGUGUGAUACGUUCGGGUAUAUUUCCGCUAACUUCAAGUUUGUCUGAUAUUCAUUUAGUUCGGUUAUAUGUUCAUAAUUUGGAUACUAUUGGUGGUGAUAAUUAGAAUAGUGAGCCAUAUGAUUAUGUAGAUGAUCAAGAACUUGGAGAUGAAGUGCAUAUUCCAACUAAUGAUGAUGAAGGGGAGAAUGAUAUGUCCCACGAUGAGAAUCUUUGUGAAGCUCUAGAAUUAUCUCAAGUUCAACUUAAGAGGUCUAACAUGCAGAGACAACCUUCUAGAAGGUAUAAUUCUAAUGACUAUGUGACAUUGAAUGAUGAGGGUGAACCUGAGUGUUUUCAAGAGGCCAUGGAAAGUGAUGAAAAUCAAAAGUGAUUGGAUAUAAUGCAUGAUGAGAUGAAAUCAUUGCAUAAUAAUCACACUUAUGAUUUAGUGACGUUGCCUUAAAGGCAAAUGGGAUUUGGAAAAUCGAUGGAUUUAUAGAGUUAAACAUGAGAGUAACUCUAAGUCUCCAAUGUAUAAAGUAAAAUUAGUGGUGAAAGGUUUCCGUUAAAUAAAAGGGUGUUGGUUUUAAUAAGAUUUUCUCACCUGUUGUAUUGAUGUCAUCAAUCAGAAUCAUGUUAAGUUUGGUUGCUACUCUUGAUUUAGAGGUUGAUUAAAUGGAUGUGGAAAUGACUUUCCUUCAUGGUGAUUUGGAGGAAUGAUUUUCAAGUUAAAGGCAAAGAAGAUCAUGUGUGUGGAUUGAGAAAGAGUUUGUAUGGAUUGAAGCAAGCUCCAAGGUAAUGGUAAAAGAAAUUUGAGUAUGUUAUGUGUGAUGAAGAAUACCAGAAGACAACUUCAGAUAAUUGAGUCUUUGUUAGAAAAGUUUCUAACGAUGAUUUCAUUAUCAUGUUGUUAUAUGUUGAUGAUAUGCUUAUUGUAGGGAAAACUAUUUCUAACAUUGACAUGUUAAGAAAGAAGUUGGGUGAGUCAUUUUCCAUGAAAGACGUGAUGAAUAAAGUGUUACCAAGAGGGAAGUUUGAAGCUUGUUGUAAUAUCAUCGAUUAGGUGAUUUCCUCCACGUAGUUGUGAGGGGGAGAUUUGUUGAGUUUGAGAUUCAUUCCUAUGUGGAUAAAGACCCAAAUAUGUUAGCCCAUUUAUAUCUGACUUAUUUUAGUGGAGAUGGUCAAUUUAAGGUUGGACGAAGGAGAGAAAAAGAUGCAUAAAAUAUGUUAGCCCAUUUAUAUCUGACUUAUUUUAGUGGAGAUGGUCAAUUUAAGGUUGGACGAAGGAGAGAAAAAGAUGCAUAAAACCCGCCACAAAAGAGAGAAAAGAGGAGAGAAUCUUAUUCCUAUUUUUUUGCAACCAGUCUAACUAAAUCGAUAAUUCAUGAUUCGUUAACCGUUGGAUCGAGCUCAAAUUUAGAGUGAAAGUUCACAACACAUGUGUCUACCUUUUGACCAUUCGGAUCUUCAAAACGAAGUCUAAGCUGAGAGAUAUCUGUUUCGCAUUGAAGCUGCAAAUUUAGAUAAUUUUUCAGCUUCUUGAUUCUUAUUUGUAAACUAAUUUGUUUUGUGAUUUUGUUGUUGUUAAUAUUAAUUAGUGAAUCAUUUUGAGACUCUCUUGUACUCUUAUUUGAUUAUAGUAGGACUAUUUAUUUGAUCUAAACGACUCUCAAUUUUUACACUCAUAUUGAAGGAUUUUUUACGUUAAAAUAUCAGUGUUCUCUUAUGUUUUUAUUUGUUCGAUUUGUUGUCAUACAUUUGUUGUUGAUCCGAAUUUUUUUUACAAAUUUGAAGAAUUUUAUAUCCCUUGCAUAUUGAUUUAUUACCUUAAUUUCGCAUCAAGAGUUUAAGUAUUCUCCUCUUGAAGAAACAAACAAUAACAUAUGUGUUAAUGUAAUAAACAACAAACAUUCUUAAAUUAGUGACCUCAUUGUGUUCUAGCUUAAUGGAGAAUUUGAGACCUAGAGGUACAUGGUGGUUGGUGCAUGCCGUGUUAAAACUCAAAAACGCAACAAGAAAACAAAAUUGGGACCCCUAAAAACUUAAAAGGUGGGCGUGCUAAGAUGCUGAGUGAAUGAUAAUGAAGAACAAACAAAAGAUGGUGACUCCUUUGGCAUCUUUCAAUGUCAUGUGAUAAGAAAUGUAUUCUACACCGUUGUUUCACAUAAACUUCAUUUAGAUAGAUGGAUAUACAUCGACAUAGCUAGCUAAUCAACAAGAUAAUCUCAAACGCUGCCCAUUUCACCAAACAAGUAUAGAAAAAUCAUUGCUAGCUACACUACAAAAACUCUCAAAUCAAUCACCCUUUACUCAAAGUAUGAAUUAGACCUAGAGAAUAAUCACUAUUUGUUUUUGAUGUUGAUGAAAAAUGAAUUCAAUGUGAAAUAAUUUAUAUUUAAAUAUAUUUAUGUAAAAGUGAAUUCAAGAAUAAAUUUAUAUUUAAAUUUAAAUAUUACAUUUAUUCAGGUAUAUUUGAUUCUAUUUUUAAAUUUUCUUCAUAAUUAAUUCUACAUAUAAUAAAAAUUUGUAAUUUUAACUUUAAAUGUAAUUUUUAGAUUUAAGUUUUAAAACUCACAUUUACAUUAAUAUAUUUAAACAACAACCAAUAACUCGAAAUUAAUUCUUGUUAUUGCAUAAUAAGACACAUGCUUAGAAUCAAAAGAUCUAAAUCUAGUAUAUAGAAUAGAAAAUCACUUAGUGUUUGAUAAUUAACUUUUAUAAUUAUUGUCGCAUUGCUUAAAAUUUAGGUUUAGGCGUUUCUCUAGAAAAAAAAUUAUUUUAUUUUUUCUUAAUUAUUUAUUAGUGGAGUAAUCUUGAUCUCAAUUAUUAUUUUUAUUUAAAUAAGUGAUUUAUAUAUAUUUAAAGUUUUUUUUAUUCCAUUGAUUUGCUUCUAACUUUGUGUGUAGUUAUCUUCUUUCCCCUUUUUAUUACGGUGUUCAUUUGGUUCAGAUACAUAUUAUUAAUGAUUUAGGUGUGUUGAAUAUUGUAGAUAAUGAGACAUUGAUAUUCUAGACAGUUCCAUUUUCUCAUAUUUUAUACGCAUUAGCGUAUAUAAAUGUCGUUUAUCAUUUUAUUCUACUAACUUGUAUGAUGUGAGUUUAUUUUUAUUUUCAUCCUUUUAAUUUUUAGUGUUGUUUAUAGUUGUUAUACUUUGUCAAUUUGAAUGAAUGUCAUUAAAUUUUUAGUAAAAAAUAAAUAUUUUUAUGAUUAAUUUUUAAUUUUAAAUUUAAUUUUCAACUUACUUUUACAUAAAUAAACUUAUAUAAAUAUAAACUAUUUUAAAUUUUGAGUUUUUUUAAGAGCGAAAAAUCCCAAAAAUUAUCAUACUAGGUGUAUACAUGUAAUUGGAUGUAUGAAAUGAUGAAAAAACUUUAAAAUAUGGGAGUAAUCCAAAUUUUAAUUGCAAUUGUAAGUCUUGAAUAUGUAACUAAAGUGUGACUGUGGACAUUUAUUUUCUUUACAAGGUUAAAGAAGAAGAAAAAUAACAUAAGAAAAAAUAAAUUUUCCUUAAAAAUGGAAGUUUAAGUCGUAUCCGCUGCAAAGAUGUUACUCAUCCCUUAAGGGAGAGAUGAGUGAAUCAGAAGAUCGAUGUCACUAGAGGUUUUGAGCUUUUCCAUGAAAUUAGGGCUAUGGUUCCUUCUCUGAGAGUGUGGAUGAAUUUAAACAUAGAGCUUUAUAGGAUAAUAUCCUUAAUACUUUGAAUGAAUUAUGGUACUUAUUCAAGGGAUUCUCAAUUAGGCUAAUACUGAGGGAAGAGGCAGAGUAGAAAGAUGAGUCAGUAAUGUCCAUCCCUUUGGAUAAAGAAAGGACUUAUUUGGAGGAUAUACAAAGAAUUUGAUAUGAAUCCAGAGAAACCAAGUUUCCAAGUUCCACUGGAUGUACUCAAGGUACCGCCAAAUUCAGUACAAAUUGGAGUGUCAUUACAACUACCAUCUACGUUAAUGAUAGUGCAAGAGUACUCUUGGGAUUUCCAAGAGAUGAAGUGAUUAUUUGUGUGCUCAAUUUGAGGUUUGUUGAAGCAAGUAGUUAAAUAAUUCGUCAUAGAGCGGGCAACCAAUGAGAGUCUAUAUCUUAGAAUAAUUUCAUGAGAGACACAAACAGCGUUACAGUUUCUCCAAGCCCGCCAAAUUCCCACAGCAAAGAGAUUAUGAUUGGUACCAUGUAUCUCUAGUUUUUAUCCAAUAGUGAUUAUCUUGGUUCAAUUAGAAAUCAGGAUGAUUAAACCCAAUGUGUAACUAAAAGUUUCUAGAAUUCAUAUAGUCAUGAACACAAUGGAGUAAAGUCUCCUCUUCGAGGUCACAUCUAGAGCACAAAGCCAAAGGGGCUAUAUUUUGAUGAUAUAUAAGAAAGAGAAUGGGAAUAGACUUGUGACAAACAAUACAAAAGAGGAACUUUAUCUUUUCUAGGAAGCCUAAUUUCCAUAUUUGAUUCCAAGAUUGAGUGGCAUUGAUAGAAACGUGAAGCUAUUAUUUUUUAUGGAGGAUCCAAGUGUAGACACUCUUAGUAGUGUAAGUACCAUUUAUGUUAUCGGACCAAAUGAAGGUCUUCUAUUUUGAAGUUAAAGUUGAGUCUUUUGGAGGUGAUCUCAGUAGUGGUGUGAGGGGUGAGCUGAGUAUACAAGUGUUGAAUAUGGAGAAUUGAUGUAGAGUAAAAAUCCUUGACAAUUAGGGUAGUGUCGUGUAUGUGAACAAAUCAACCAGAGUAGUCAUGGGUCCAAGAGGAGACCAAUGGUUGUACUAAAAAGAUGGGGAUCCUGACCUUAAUUUCCGAGCAAAACCAUCUUUUAACACGUUAUUAGCUCUCAUAAUUAAGUGCUUAAUGGCUUAUGAAACUUUUUCUCUAUGUAUGAAAAUUAUGUAGUCAAAUUUUCUAAGUCAUUAUGUAUGAACACUUGAAAAACAGUAACAAUUGUUUGAAAAAUUAUGAUGAAAGAGGAUAUUUAAAAUCUAAAAACCUUAUGCUAUAUAUACAUCACAAGAUGCCUUUUGGGUGAGUAGCAAUGAAUGAAAAAUGUUAAUGAUUAAUUGCAAUGAUUUGUUAAAAAAACUCAUGAACGUGUGCAAUGAAGAUGUAUUACAAUGAUUCGGAAUUUUCAAGAAGCAAUCGAUUGUUUUAACAUGUCAAUCGAUUAUUCCAUGUUUAACAUUUAAAAAUAUGCAAAAGUUACACAUGACAGACGAUUUUGGUGAUGCAUAAAUCGAUUAUGGGGCUAAAAUGGGAGACCCCUCAAUCGAUUGUCUUAUAGCAUCAAUUGAUUGAUGCUUGAACAAAAACAAAAUGUUAGAAUCCAGGGACUUCUAAACAAUUGAUUGUACCAUGAUGUCAAUAGAUUGUUCCCUUAAGAAACUUGGAAUUUUUCUUUUUAAAACAUGUGUUAUGAAUGGAAAUCAUGUAAUAAUGCUAGGGAUCUUUUAGAAUGGAUUAGAUGAGAAGAUUUUGAGAACCUAAUUCUUAUAUACAUAUGAAUUUUCAUUGUACCUUAAUCUUCAUGAUUCAAGCCUUUGAAAUCCAAAACUUAUGUGUCGCACCUCGAAAAAUGAGAACACGACUUAAGUGAAGCGUAAUCGCAUGAUGGACUAAACAUAGUCGCCACCGAACUUUGUUUAUUCCUAAAAAGGAAAGGGGAGAUAUCGAUAAAACCCAAGAAAGAACGACAAAUAUUAUGGUCAUCGCAACCAAAUCAGGAUUCAGGAGUCUAUUACGCAAGGGAAAGGUAUUAGCACCCCUCACGUCCGUUGUACUCAACGGGAACCAUUAGGCUAGUUGUGCACGUUAGUGUUAGCUUGAAAUGUUAGACUUCUCAAGUUACUAUGAGGGAAAGAAUAAUAGGAUAAAAACAAAGAGAAUAUGCUUUUGGAUUUUUGCAACGAAGGGGACUAAACCUAAGUUUUUUACUAAUGGGCCUGACAAGAUUUCACAAUCCUACUCCUACGUAUCUCCGGGUGCAAUUGAGAAUUCAAGGCUUACGUAGUUCUGGGUAGAAAAUGUUUAUUUGUUGGUCGGUUUUAGCUUAAGUUGUAUUGUAUUAAUCGACGAAAAAUAUUGUUUUACUCAAAACAAGUGAGGAGCGGACGUAUACCACCCAUCGAAUGGAUUUAUAAAUCAACAUUCGGAAAAACGUCAUUUAUCUCAACUCAACAAUUGUGGAUGAAGCAUUGCCUUGCAUCAUCUUAAGACAAGGUGUCUUUUGUUUUUGAAAAGGUUUCGAAGAUUAAUCACGUGGCGGCGAGAAAAGAGUUUGAUGUGUUGGAUGUAUUUUAUAGGUGAAUGACGAACAUUUGAUGAGAACGAGACAUAAGCCUCGGGAUCAAUCACUUGGGGUUCCACCAGAAUGCUAGAUUCCAAUGGUCCUUUUUCAUUCGAAUUAGUUGAGAAAAUUGUUUGAUGGACAACGAACGCUUGAUAAGAAUCAAUUGUUCAAAGAGUUGCGCCAGAAUGCUUGAUCCCAACGACCCUUAUUUUGUCUAAGUUAAUUAAAGUGUUUUAGGGACGAAAGAAAAGAAUGAACGGUUAACCCAAGACGCGAGGCUCGGGACCGAUCAUUCGAGGGUUCCCACCGGAAUGCCAGAUUCCAAUGGUCCUCUUCUUUCGUGUUUUUUUUUAAAAAAGUUUUAAUAUAAACUUAAAUGAUCGGGAUACAAAUGAUUUAAUCAGAUUAAAAGGUAUAACUUAGGGUAGGAUCGAAAUUUAAGAAAUUAGUCAUAAUUUUUAUUCUAUUAAUUAAUUAACAUUAUUACUAGAUAUUUAUUUAGUUAUUUAUUCAUAAUAUUCUAACAAUAACAAAUAAAACUACAAAGAAAUCGACAUUAUUUGAAAAUAAUAAUUCUAUAGUUAUUCAAACAUUUAAAGAAAAUAACAAGAAAUUAAGUUGGAGAAAAAUAAAAUAAUAUAUUUUUUACGUCUAGUAAAAUGAAGUGAGAAAAUAAGACCAACUUAACAUUAAACAUAUGCAAAUUAUUUUACUAAAAAAAUUUGAUGAUGAAAUAAUUAAAUUUUCUUUUUUUCUUUUCAAAACAUAAUUAAAAAUAACAAAAGAAAAUAAAUUAAAUCUACUUUUUUUUCUAACAUAAUUUAAAAAUAAUAACGAAAAUAACUAAAUUAACCCUUUUUUAUUUUUAUUUUUAUAACACAAUCUAAAAAUAAUAAUGAAAAUAACUAAAUUAACUUUUUUAAAUUUUUGUUUGAAAUAAAUAAGAGAAAAUAAAAAAAAAACUAUAGAAUAAAUAAUUUUUCCUUUUUUUUAUAUUACUAAUAUUACUGAUAAAAAAAAUUGCAAGAAAUAAAACUUAUUUUUUCAUUUCAUUAUUAAUUACAGCAUUACAGUCACAAACGUUAAUUAUACAAAUACUAAAACAUAUUAAUUAUAGACUCUACUAUUCUCUUUGAUAUUGUAGCACAAACGUUAAUAAUUACUACAUUAUGAUAUCAUAAUUCCAAUUGAAUAUUAUUUCCUAUUAUUAUCUCACAGAUACUAUAACACAUAUCAAUUUCAUUUAAUAUUGUUUAUAUUUAUCAAUGCUGCAAAACUGUAUUAAAUUCGUUAUUUAGUCAUUUAAAUCAAAAUACAAUUUCAAGAUGAUGAGAUAGCAUUGCCAACUUAUCGGUUACUUUGCAAUGAUGAUGAGAUAUCAAUCAAACCAAUGCAGCCACUUUAACGCUUAUUAUUUUCUUAAAAAAUUAUUAAAUAAGGAUUAAAGCAAUUGAAAGAAAAAAAAGAGAGAAACAUAACAACAGUAACUCUUCAUCACCCAAACUCUAUCUCUUCCUCUCGUUGAUUUCUCUUUGCCCUUGUCAGAGAAAGGCGGUCGGCGGCGCCAUCGUCCCCUAUGGUGAUUCCCUACCUCAAAACUUUACUUUCCCAAAAUAAACCCCCCUUAUAUUUUCAUGUUUGUUAUGAAUUUGAACUCCAUUUUAUCAAAAUCUCAACCUAAAAGGAGAUCGUCCCUCUCAGAAAUCACAACACAAUUAAAAGAAAAAGCAACUAACAACAACAUUCAAAAGACAAGCUUACGGAUUUCGACACGUAAAAGGGAUUGAAGAUAAAACAACAAAGAUUAACGAAGGAGUAAAGAAAUACCUAGAUUCAGGUAAGAAAUUUUCGCCCUCUAAAUCUUGUUUUCUGUUUGGAUCUUCCUCUCUCUGUAUUUGUUGGUUUAUGUUCGUGUUGUUAAAAAAUAUUGCUGCAAUAUUUAGAGUUUGAAUAUUUCUAUAUUUGCUUAAUAAAUUUUUGUGUUUGGACUUAAAUCUGGGAGAUAAAUUUGAGUUUCUGACUGAUAGAGAAAAUAUUAUAUCAGAUUUACUUGGAAAUUUCUUUGGUUUGGUGGUUUGAAGAAAAAAAAAAUAUUUCAGUUUUUCUUCAAAUUCUCUCUGUUUUGAAAUUUGAAAAUGAAAAAUCUCCCCCUCAUACUUUCUGCUACUUGUUAUUUAUAUUCAAGAAAAUAAAUUAGGAUUGUUUGAAUAUAAAAACAUCUUUUGUUUUGGUUCAAUUUUAUUUCUGGUGAAGUUCCUGCUUAAUUGCUCAUCCUAUGUUUCUCUGCUAAAACCUUUUUGCUCUUUUUACUCUUGACUUUUUGAAAUAUGUUUUGCUUAGAAAAAUAUGUUAACGACACUAUUCUGCAACUACUGUAGCAAUAAGACAAAAACCUGUCCAAACCAAAGAGAGCAGAGUUCUGGUUGUGUAGAGGAAAAAAAAGACAAACAAGCUCUUAGUCAUUGUGUAACUAAUACACUUGAAGAGCCCCUUUGAUUUUGUAAUGGUUACUACAAAAAAAAUGUAAAUUAUGUGUAAUAGAGGCUUUGUGGUGUAAUAUAAAUCCCUAUCUUUUUUUUAAAGUUUUUUUUAUGAUGUAAAAAGAAAAUAAUCUAAAGUGUAAAUAAAAUUUUAAUUUUAAAAAAAAUAAAAAUAAAUAAAAUAAUAAUAAAAAAAUAUAAUUAUAAAUAUGACAAGAAACUUCUUUUUUUUAAAUGAAAGAAACAAAUUUAAAUUCUACAUUUUUUUAGAAAUUUACUUCAAUUUAAAAAUAUAAAAUAAAUUUGAUUUAUAUUAUGACCUAUUUUUAAAAACACACAUAAAAAUCUUUAAUAAGAUAUAAUAAACAAGAAAUUAACAAAACAAAAAAACCAAUUAAGACUUAAUUUAUUUUUGAAAAGGAAUGUAAAAAUGAAAAUCCAAAACUAAACCUUUAAUGCAAAAUGCAAAUUAAAUUUCUAAUCAUCCAUAUGCAAUGUAAGACAAAUGAUUAUGUAGUAUAUGUAUGGAUGAAUGGAAUAGCGAUGUAGUUCAAAUCGAUUAAAAUCAACUUAUAAAAAUCAAAACAAAGACCUUAAGUUAUCAAAUUAACAAUGGUUGAGUGAAUUUCCACACCAAAUGUCGGCUAUGGAUGUGUAAUGAAUGGAGGUAUGUACGAAUUGGUCAAAUUGAAUAAAUCGAUCAAAGUGAACAUUAAUCAUGACUUAUGUAUGCGAAAUGAAAUCUUUACAACCAGAUGAAACAAUCAUAAGGAAUCAGUUCGAAUGAUGAGAUGCAGAUGAAUGAAAUGACUGCAUAAAGAUGGUAUGUGAGUGAAUGACUUAGUUGCAGAUGAAUGAAUGUCAAUGGGUAAAUGCAUAUGAAUGACUUUAGGUGGGACAAAAUUUAGGGUAUGACAUUAUGCAAUCUUGAAAAUUGAUUCCAAUUUUUUUCUUCUUUGAUCUUUCUUCAUUGAUUAGCUUUUGUCUUCACCAAAACUAAGCUAAGAUAGAUGAUGAACAUCUUCUUCACAGUGAAUAUCAGUGGAGGUAUUAUCCUUCCAAAUAAAGUUACGAGUUAUACGAUUAAUUGUGUCACAAAUAUUUUGAGGGAUCCAAGUGGCUUUCACGUAGUAAGAGGGAAUAGACGAUAAAGAUGAAGUAGCAAGAGCUAAUAUACCAUGCUUGUUGAGAGGCUUGUUUUUCUAGGAAGCCAUGCGAGUUUUCAUUUUCUCCAAGAUGAAAUUAUAGAACGAUCUUUUAGCCCUACCUUUGAGGAUAGGAAAACCAGUCUGUUUUUCUAAGGAAGUGGUACACCGAAUCCUGGAGAUAGAUGUUUGUUGGUUGAUUUUAGCUUGAGUAAUUCUAGAAGAAUAAAAAACACGGGACUUAGAUAGAUUAAUCUCCGACCCUAAUGCCCGACUAAAGUUGUCCAAAAAGGUGGCAAUAACUCUGAUUUGUGACUUCUUUGUCUUUGAAAAAAGGAAAACAUCAUAUGAAAAUAGAAUAUGAGACAGAUGAGGACCAUUUCUAGAGAUACAUAUAGGAAUCCAAGAACCACUACGAACAACAUAAUUGGUAGCAAUAGAAAGCUUAUCCAUGCGUAUAAUGAGAUGGUAAGGAGAUAAUAGAUCCCCUUGUCAAAGAUCAUGAGAAGGCUUGAAAGUUGGCAUUUUAAUCUCAUUCCAUAAAAUAGAUACAAAUUAGGAUGUGAUGUAAUGCAUAAUAAGUCAGAUGGUUAUCUGAGGGAAACCAAAGUCUAACAAGCAUCUUUUAAGAAACUCCCAGUUCACGUUGUCAAAUGCCUUUUCUAGAUCCAACAUGAAGGUAACAUCACCUUUAUUCUUCUUCGUUAUGUGCAAGUAGUGUAUAAUUUCCUACAAAAUAAUAGCAUUGUCAGUGGUUCCCCUUGUAAGACCCAAUUUUGACCCUAAGAUCCCUCAUACCAUCUCAUCAUUUGCAUUGGCUUUGGGAUCACAUCUUGGUAUCAUUUUCACCCCUCAUUCAUUGAGUUUGCAUUGGGAGAGAUCACCAAGCAUAUUUGUUUGUAUAAUACUUUAUUUUUAUUUGUUUACUAACUAAAAUACCAAAAAAUAUGUCUAGUGUAACUUUGUUUCUUUUGUAGGUAGUGUGUUUGUCCACCUGUGCCUCAUCAAGCUCAUAUCUAGGGUUUGAGACCCUCAAUGCAAGAGAUCACUCAAGGAAAGGUUAACAUUGCUUCUAAACAUCAUAAAUGGAUCCCCGUGUUCUUUAUUUGUCAUUUGAUCAAGAAUUCAUCAAGAUUUUGAAGCUUAUUUGCCUGGGAAGCCCUAAUUCAUCUAGGUAUCUUGUGUGACUUUCUCAACAAGUUUCUUUAACAAUUGAUAAAAUAUUUUAUGGGAUACUUCAUUUAAACUCAUCUUAAUCAUAUAUGAUUCUCCAUGAGCCCCAAAGAUCAAAAUAACUUCAAGUUUGCAAGUUGGUUCAAGGAGGUUGACUAGAGAAGUCAACUGGUCAAAUCUAGGGUUUCCUAUAUGAAAAUUAUUCCAAGAUCCAAGUUACUCUUUAUCACAUUCCAAACAACUUUCAUGUUGGCAGCAAAAGCUAAUUUUUCUUGUAAAGUCAUUUUUUACGGUGAAAAAUUAUAGGUCAUUUUGUUUGUGCCCUAGAUGGAAGGUCAACUUCCAAGGACCAUAACCUGCUCAAUUUUUAUGAUAUGAAGGUCAUCCAAGUUUCAUGAUUAAUUUAAAGAUGUGUUCUCCAAUUUUUCUUCUUUGAGAAAGGUCAAAAUUCACUUGCAAGGGCAUGUACCAAGAGGAAACAUUAUAGGUCAUUUUGGGCCAUCAUCAUUGAACAAGCAAUUUUCCUCAAAUUCGAAAAUCCAUAACUCCCUCAUGAAAGAUUCAAAUGGUGUCAAAUAUGUGACCAAAUUGAAUAAUAUUGAAAUAUCUACAAAUUUGAAUAAGUAAGUAAAGUCAUUUGAAGCUCAUAGCAAAAGUUAUUCAAGGUGGAAAAAGUGGUCAUUUGACUUUUAACUUCGAAAACUUUCAACCAUGUUUAAUUAUUCCAAAUUCCACACCAAUCUUCAUCAUGAUCCAAGCUCCAAAUGGAAAACGUUUCAACAUCAAAGUUGUUCCUCUUCAUGCUAGCUUUCCAAAGAGUCUAAGAUCAUGACAUUUGGAUUAAUUUUGAAGGACUUGCACAUGGGUGCAUUGCAUGGCCCUAUUUGGAAACUUUUGUGAUCAAUUUUAAACCAAUAUUGCAUGGCUUCAUGAAUUGCUUUCAGCAUCACAUCUGCACGAAUUUGGACUUAUAUUAAUCAUCAUUUGGGCCUUGUAGCAUGCGCAUGCAACCAUGCACACCACAUUUCUAUUUUUGGCCAAUUCUUGAAAGUGUGUGGAAAUGAAUCUUUGAGGUUAUAAAUACAUGUCAUUCUGCUCAGAAUUGAUGACCUCUUGCCCAAGCUUUGAUCUGAAAACUCUCCCAUCCUCCAUUGAUAGAACACCUUGAGGAUUUCUCUUGAAAUUGAGUUUUAAUUCCCCUUCUAUUUUGGGAUUGAAACUCCAAGGGUUCAAGCUUUUUUUGCAUCCAAAUCAUCUCCUGCAAGUUAGUAGAAGCAAGGCAAAGCAAAUUGGAAGAGAGAUCGAGCUCCAUUACUACAAAUAAAAGGUGAUUUUUAAGAAACUUUCCUUCUUCGAUUCUCCCUCAAUUCUCCAUCAUAUCUCUUGAUUCUUGGUUGUCUGAAGUCCUACCAAUGUAGGCAACAAGAUUGAGUUACUUUGAGGUCAAAUCGAAGCAACUCAGUUCAUCCACCUCAUUUUUCAAUUCCAUAUAUCUCUCUAUAUAUUGAGAGUUGAGAAAAAUAGAGGCCAGAUUUGUGCUCUCAGUCAUUUUCUCUUUAAAUUGGUAUGUGGAUCUUCAUUUUUGGUGAACUUUAGAGGUGGACCAGUUCGGUGGGGUCCACCGGAGAAGAUGACCGGAGCUAGGGCUUUGGUGUUGCGCUAAAACGUCCCAGGUCAUCUGAUCCUUGCCUUGUGUUCUAAUCUUGGUCAUUGGUUUGAAUUACCACAUUUGCAACGCAUUUGACUUGGUGCAUGGUAGACACCACACGCACGGCCAUCAGAUCUACCACCUCAAUUAAUGAGGAAGAUCUGUUGGUCCUUGUUUUUUCUCUUUUUAUUUUAAUUAGCUUAUUUUGUUUAAUUCAUAAUAACUUCAUUUUUAAUCCAAAAAAUACGGGACUUUCACCAAAAAUCUUUAAAUAAUUUCCUCUUCAAUAUUUUGAAUUAAAAUCAUUUUUUUGGAUUAUAUUUGAUAUUUUUUGUGACUUAAAUAGUUUUUGACUUGUUUUUAAAUAUUUUUAAAUACUUCUGACUUUCUAAAAAUUCCCAAUUUUUUUAUCUAAGGUCCUUUGACCUUGUUUGACCUAGGAUAAAUCCCUUGGCCAUUUAUUUGGUGAUUUGAAGGGACUUGAGGUUUUUCCCUUUUUAAAAUGCAUUUCACUUCUUUUUUUUAUUUUACUUUUAAUUGUUUAAUUGUUUAAAAAUAUUGUUAAGCCAUUUGGUUGACCUUGUGUUAUUUCAUCUUCUGUUUGGCCUUGAUCAUGGUUGAUUUGAACUUCCAUUUGAUCAAUACUAUUGGAUUUAGGGAGUUGAUGAAGUGUAAACUUCAUCCCUCAAGAUGAAUGGAUAGUAUUGAUCAUAUGAAAUUCCUCCCUUGACCAGUUUGGUUUUCUAUUUCUCUUUCCCUUUUCAUCUUCAUCACUCUUCGUUCCCAAUCCAUCAUUGGCCAAUGAUUUCUCUACAAAUCAAAUGCUAGUUGAUUCAUCAAUGACCUUGUGUCAGAUGAAUCAACAUGAGCUUGAUUGAGAUAGGUCCACCCCAUUUUAUUUUUGUGUGUGGUAUGCUUUAGGAGCUUGGUUCUUUGUACCAUAUCUCUAGCAUGCAUUAACACCAAUAUUUUUAUUGUCCGACCUCAGAUAGUUGUGACUUCUACAUAAGUCCAAUUACGAUUGCUUAACAUAGAGUUAAAUCUGUCCCAAAAGGCAUAGCAUUCUUGUAAGUGAAAUUGUAAGUCUCCCAUUCCUCAUGGUAUUGUGUAAAGACUUAACUUUUUUUUUCAUUUAUGAGAGCUAGUGGCAUACUUGUUGAUUUAUCCAAGUUGGAGCCCUUCUCAUAGAUGAUGUCUUGGUUCAUGUCUUUAUGCUUGUGAUUGGAUGGUUGAGUGUUCUCCAAAGAAUGACUUGAACAAUUGAAUGCUUCACUAACAUUUGACUAACAUUUCUUUAUUAUUGAUUUAUCUUUAAUGUCAUUUACUUAAUGCAAAUUUAAAUUUUAGUAUCUUUAUCAUUCAUUUCCAUUUACAUUUCAUGCAAAAUGUUUAUGUUUCAGUCAUUUUUACUUUGCUCACUUGAGCCAUAUCCUUGUUCUUGUAUAUAUUGUGUGCUUGUGAUUUUGGUUUAUUUGUGGUAUUAAGACCUUAAAAUACCUAAUAACAACAAAAACCCUAAAAAGUAUGUUGGUGGAUUGUUGAACUUCUGCCCUUGACUUGAUUUGAACUUUUGGACUUAGAAUAGGAAACUUCCUUAUGCUUCUAGGACUUGGGCAAUGCCAUUCAGCUGAGACAAGCAUUGAGUUCCCCAUUGGUUUACCUGUUAUUUUAUCUUCGUGCUUAAGCUGUUAUUUUGAUCUUGUUGUUUUUAUCUGAUGAUUUUUUCUAUGAGUUUGCCAUAAGGAAUAUUUCAUCUGAUACAUUUUGAAGACACCAAAGACUGCUUGCUUUUGGAAUGCUGCUUGGAUGGUGGCCAUCUUUAUUUGAUGCCUAUGAUCUUCAUAUUUAUUUCUUGGAUGGGUAUGCUUAUUGCUUGCUUAAAGGUCCAAAGGAAAUAGGUUUCUAUCUGACAUUCUUGUCUUGUGGAUUGCAUCUCAUUGGUCAUAUCUUUUCAACCCUAAACUUUUAAUUUUUGUCUAGGAUAGUCCGUUCAUAUCCUCCCACUUCUUUAAUUUCAAAAUCUCUCCCUCAUUUCAAAACCUUAUUUGCUUAUUAUUUUCAACUUAGACAUGUUUUAAUGGUUAGAAACCAUGGCCUUAUGCCAUUGAAUUUUCAAACAUUUUCUUAAAUCAAAUUUUUUAAAAAACUUAACCAUAUUGACUUUAAUUUCAAAAUACAAAAAGAACUAACAACCUCAUAUAAUCCUUUUAGCCAUUUUGUGCCUUUUUCUUUUAACCUUUUCAAAAAGGGAGCAUUUAGAUUUGAGUUAUCUUUGGUUGAGAUAUAACUCUCUCAUUUUCCUUGAUAUUAGAUUGUAAGUCUUUCCAUUUAUUAGGAGUUAGUGGCAUACUUGUUGAUUGAAUCCAAGUUGGAGCCCUCCCUCGUAAAUGUUGUAAAGCACUCAUUAUCGGUGGAUAUUUGAUUGAGUAUUCUCUCUUUGAUAACAAAAGAUCGUUAAGCUUUUGUUAAAAUCAAUCCACCAAUCUCUUUAAAAAAUUUACCACGAACUAUGAGGUUUUGAUCCCUCAUUUUUAUAUUGGUACGUAGGCAUAAGACUUAAGGUUUUGUCAAACACAAAAAAUGUAAUUAAUGAAUUAUUUUUCUUUUCAAUUGACUAAGUCAUUCUUUGGAGAACACUCAACCCUCUAUUCACAAGCAUGGAUCCUUGAACCAAGACAUCUUCCAAAGGAAGGAAAAAAGGCCAAGUUUCCACACAAUACCAUGAAAGGGGGGAGACUGACAAUCUCACUUACUAGAAUUUUAUGCUUUUGGGUCAAAAUUUAGCGCUAUGUUAAGCAAUCGUAAUUGGACUUAUGUAGAAGUCACAACUAUCAAAGGUCGGGCAAUAGAAAUUUUGGUGUUAAUGCAUGUUAGAUAUAUGGUAUAAUGAACCAUACUCCUAAAACAUACCACACACAAAAAGAAAAUGAUCAAAGAAUGGACCUAAUCUCAUUCAUACUUGUAUUGGUUCAUCUAACACAGAGUUAUUGAUGAACCAAUUAGCCUUAGGAUAUUGAUACUUCAUUGGUCAAUGAGAGGAAUGGGAUAGAAUGGGAUUGAAGAUGAAGAGGGAGGGGAAAUGAGACAAACACAAAUUGGUCAUGGGAGGAAUUUUAUCAAAUUAAAAUCAUUCAUUCAUUUUGGGAGAUGAAAUGUACAUUAAAGAGGGAGGGGAAAUGAGACAAACACAAAUUGGUCAUGGGAGGAAUUUUAUCAAAUUAAAAUCAUUCAUUCAUUUUGGGAGAUGAAAUGUACAUUUCAUCAAUCCCCUAAAUCCAAUAAUUUUAAUUCAACAAAAGUCAAAUCAAUCUUGACAAAGGCCCAAACACAUAGUCAAACUUCACAAGUCAAUAAAAAUGGCUCAACAUAAUUUCUACACAAUUAAUCAAUUAAAAAAAACAAAUUAAAAUGCAUUUAAAUUCAAUUAUGUCUGAUCAAAAACCCAAAACCUCUUCAAAACACCAAAUAAAUGGCCAAGAGAUUUAUCAUAGAUCAAACAAGGUCAAAGGACCUUGGACAAAACAAUUCAUUAUUUUUGAAAAGUCAGAAGUAUUUUUAAACAAUUGAAAAUAUGCACAAAAACAAUAAAAUCAUGAAAAAUAUCAAAACUAAUCCAAAAAAUAAUUUUAAUUUAGAAAAUGAAAGAGGAAAAUAUUUGAAUUUUUUUGGUGAAAGUCCCAUAUUUUUUGGAUUAAUAAUGAAAUUAAUAUGAAUUAAUUAAAAAUAAGCAAUUAAAUAAAAUAAUCAGAAAUUCAAAAAAAUUGAAUUUUUUUGGUGAAAGUCCCAUAUUUUUUGGAUUAAUAAUGAAAUUAAUAUGAAUUAAUUAAAAAUAAGCAAUUAAAUAAAAUAAUCAGAAAUUCAAAAAAAUGAGAACCAUCUGAUCUCCCUCAUUAAUUGAGGUGCCAAAUCAGAUGGUGAGAAACACACGUUCCACAUGUGCCUUGGCCAACUAAAACACACGUGUGGUAAUCUAAAACAACGCCCAAGAUUAAAACAAUUCAAAUGGAUCCUAUGGCUGAGAUGCAUGAUAACAAAUCACCGAAGCCAGGGCUCCGGUCUUCUUCUCUGGUGGACCUCACCAGACUGGUCCACCAUUAACCAUCACCAAAAUGAAAAAGCAAGACACGGUAUUAAAGAAAAAAUGCUCAGGAGCUCGAAUCUGACCUCAAUUUUGUCGAAUUCCAAGUAUAUAAAAAGAUACAGGGAUUUGAAUUUUGAGGAUCAUGAACUGAGUUGCUUCGAUUUGACCUCAAAGCAACUCAAUCUUCUUGCCUACAUUGAUAGGACUUCAGACAACCAAAAUUCACAAAGAAUGGUGAAGAAUUGAGAGAGAAUCGAAGAGAAUAAGUUUCUGAAAAAUCACCUUCGAGUUGAUCUAAUUCCACUUGAUCUUGAUCUGAAUUUGAUUGCUUUCUUUUCCCCUUGCUUGCAGAAGUCAAUUGAGAUGAAAAGGGAAGUGAAUUUCUAGAGCUUGAACUUCCAAACAGAAAAUGAAGUUCAAGCUCGAUUUCAAGAGAAACCUUCAGAAAUUCUAUGGCAGUGGGGGUUUGAAUCAGUCUAGCAAAGCUUGGGCAAGGUGUUCAUGAGGUUCUGAUCACAAUGCACUUCUAUUUAUAGGCUAUGGGAUUGAUAUUUGCACACUUCCAAAUUUGGCAAAAUUUGAAUUUCUCUCUUGCAUGGAUGCAUGGGUGUGCACUAGGCCCGUGAGAUGAUGUAAUCUGAUCCAUAGUUCAAUGUUUAUCAUGUUGAAAUCAUGUUAGAAGUCCAUGCAAAUGUGUAUGAAAAAUGGAAGUUGAAAUUAUCCAAAUGGUCUCUUAACUUACACCCAAGCGCAAGUCCCUCAUACUUUGGAAAAAUGAGAUGAUAUUGGACUUUUUGGAAAGGUGAGAUCAAGGGGAACAACUUUCAUGUUGAACACAUUUUCAUUUGAAUCUUGGAUCAUGAUAAAUUUUGAGCUGGAAGUUUAGGAAAUCAAACAUAUUUGAAAAUUUUCUAAGUCCCAAGUCAAAUGUUCACUUCUUCCACCUUGAAUAACUUUUUCUAUGGACUUCAAAUGAGAAACGUUCCUUCAUCAAAGUUGUAUAUCUUUCAAACCUCUUCAAUCUGGUCACAAAUUUGACCUUAUUUGGAUUUGGCAUGAAGGAGUUAUGCAUUUUAUAAGUUGAGGAAAAUCACUUGUUCAAUGGUAUUGACCCAGAAUGACCUAUAAUGUUUCCUCUUUGCACAUGCAUUUGCAAGUUGAAUUUUGACUUCCUCCAAACAUCAAAGUUUAAUUAGACAUAUUGAAUUUGAUCAUGAAAUUUUAAUGGAUUUCAUAUAAUAAAAGUUGAGCAAGUUAUGGUCUUGGGAAGUUGACCUCCAAACUAGGGUUCAGACAAAAUGACCUAUAAUCUUUCACCAUAAAAAAAUGACUUUCCAAGCAAAAAUAGCUCUUGACUUCAACAUGAAAGUUGUUUGGAAUGUAAUUUGAAGUAAUUUUUCUUUUGGAAUCAUUUUCAUAUUACAAAUAUGGUAGGAGAUAGGGUCUAGGGAACCCCAGUUUUGACCAGUUGACUUCCCCUGGUCAACCUCCAUGAACCAACUUGCUAGCUUGACAUUCUCUUGACUUUUGGGACUCAUGGAGGAUCAUAUAUGUAUAAGAUGAUUAAAUAUGAAGUAUCCCUUGAAAUAUUUGAUCAAUUGUUAAAGAAACCUGUUGAAGAAGUCACACAAGAUACCCAUAUGAAUUAGGGUUUCCAAGGCAAACCAACUCCAAACUCUUGAUGAUUUCUUAAUCAAAAUUACAUGUGGAGAUAAUGGGGAUCCAUAUAUGAUACUUAGAGGCAAUGUGAACCAAUUAUUGAUUGAGCUCCUUGCAUUGAGGGUCUUAAAUCCUAGAUAUGAGCUUGAUAGAACAUAAGUGAGCAUACCCACUACUUACAAAAGCAACAAACUAUAUAUUGACAUAUUUAUUGGUAUUUUGGUUAGUAAAUAAUAAAAAAUGAAGUAUGAUACAAUCUAAAGUGCUUGGUGAUCUCUUCUAAUGCAAACCCAAUGAAUGAGGGGUAAGGAGGAUGUCAAGGUGUGAUCACAAUGCCAAUACAUAUGAUGAGAUAACAUGAGGGAUCUUAGGGUCAAAAUUGGGGUCUUACAGCUGCCCCUAUUUAAGGACGUUCUAGCUGAGGAGAUGAAGGUUAAAAUCUUCAUAUCGACUCAGUAGAGUGGACUUAAAUAACAACAAUAGAAACAAAUUUUGGUCCCUAAGAGACCUCAUGAUGCAUAUGAUAUGAAUGAAAAAAUAAUCUCUGUGGGGAAAGUGUUGCCUCAAAGGAAAAGAAUCUAUAUAGACUGAAAGUCCACAGGAGUAUAAUGCAUUUCGUAAGGAAAACUCACUGGGGAGACAGAGACUCUGGGGGAUAAAAAGUUGUACGUAGGUCAGGAUACAACUUAAAACUGCUGAGGGACAUGAGAGAUUCCAUGAAAAUAAAUCAAUGGAAAGACUCAGUCGGGGAUAAAAGAAAAAAUCUGUAGGGUAAACAGGUAAAUCGGAACAAAGCUGAAAUGCAUGAACCAAACAGGAAAAGGAGAUUUCACUAAGGAAAUAAGCACUCAAACUCAAUUGGGGAAGAAAAGAACUUCAACACAGGAGUAACAGAAGUAUAUUAUCCAUUACCGGUUAUUGGGUAAGGAGAUAACAUAAUUUGACAGAGAGGACAUCCAUUACCGGUUAGGGUAAACAUAUCAAGGAUGACUCGCUGAGGGCAAUAAAAGGUGUAUUCAUUACCAGUUACUAGGUAAGAAUAACCCACCGGGGAAAGCCAAAUAGGGUUUACAACUACCGGUAACUGGGCAGAAGAUCAAGGAAAGAGAAUAUUCGUCACCGGUUAAAGUGAACAUAUCAAGGAUAAACUCAGAGGGAAGAAUAUCCGUCAUCGGUUAGGAUGAACAUAUCAAGGAUAGACUGCCGGGGGAAAGUAGGAAUUACAUUUAUCAGUUACUGUAUAGAAUACUGAAGAGAGAAUAUCCGUCACCGGUUAGGAUGAACAUAUCAAGGAUAGACUCCGAUGGGAGAAAUGGGAAUUACAUCUAUCAGUUACUGGACAGAAUACCAAAAAGAGAAUAUCUGUCACCGGUUAGGAUGAACAUAUCAAGGAUAGACUCCGCAAGGGGAAGCAGGAUUUACAACUACCGGUUACUAGGAAGAAGACCGCCAAGAGGAGGAAACCCGUCAUCGGUUAGGAUGAACAUAUCAAGGAUUAACCCUCUGGGAAAUGAAAUGGGGAUUACAAACUACCUUUUUACUGGGUAGAAUAUCAAAGAGAGAAUAUCCGUCACCGGUUUGGAUGAACAUAUCAAGGAUAGACUCAAAAGGAAAGAAUAUAUGUCAUCGGUUAGGAUGAACAUAUCAAGGAUAAACUUUCUAGGGAAACGUGAAAAUGGAUCCACUGGAGAGAAAAUAAGAGGAAGUAAAUUACUAUUACUGGUUAUUGGGCAAGAGUAAAGUACUCACAAAUCGAGAAGAAUAUUACCAGUUACUGGGUAAUAAACUCUCAGGGGACCAAAAGCAUCUAUCUAGGUAAGAGCUAGAAAGAAAAAGGUCAAUCAAAGACUCAACCCAAUGAGGAUACAACUCAGGGGGAGUGGUUCCAUCCAGAUAAGCAACUGGGGAGGAAGCUGGAAUAAUAAUCAUCCAUGAGGAAAUAACUCAGUGGGAAAUGAGAAAGGUUAAAUUCUUUCUACUUAAAGGGUUGACACUCUACAAUUGAAAGAGGACAGACAUACCAAAUCUGCGUGGGGAGAGGACACCACCAUAGCAGAGGAUCAGAGAAGUAAUGAAUCACAAAGUGCAAUAAUAAUGCAAUAAUGGAAUCUAUGAAUGUAUAUGUAUAUGUAUAUAUGAUGAUUAUGUUGACGAAACAAUCACAAAGGAUACAAAUGUCAAAGAUAUGAACCAUCGAUACAACACUCAUCCAAUAUCAACAAGAUGGAGGCAUCAAUUGGAGAAAGAGAUGUUACGGAUGAACAUGAAUCUUCUCAAAGGUUCGACCCUGGCUGGGGAAGAGGAAAGAUCUACUGAGGAUCUGCACCAUCAACUCUGCGGGGAAUUUUAGGUUAACACCAUAUCAAAUGGGAGACAACCUUGUAGAGGACAAAAAGAAUUGCUCAAAAAUCAGUGAUAGCAAGGAUCAAGCAUAAACUCUACUGAGGGGAGUAACAAUCUGUGAUAAACCUAUGCAAACUGCUGAGAAAAGGCGCCUACAACUCAAAGGAGGUAAAAUACAAACUCAGUUAGGGAAAACCAACAAUGCUUCGCAUUUUAGGGCUCACCUGUUCUCAGACCGCUGUUAAUAUUCCUUAAUGACAUCGACGUGCUCUUAAAAAGUAAUUGCUUUUAUUAUUUAAGAAAAACAUAAUUUUAAUUAUUAAAUUCAAUUUCAAAAUGAUCAUCAUAAAGUUUAAUUCUAUUUAGCUGAAAUAAAUAAGAGUAGAAACAAUUGGAUAAAAAAACUCAACUUUAUUUAAUAGAAUGAUAAUCUGUAAAUGACAAGACUCCAUAGAUCUUUACAAAAGUUGAAAAAUGGUAAUUUACAUGGAAAAGGGCUAUAUUGAAUACAAUGAUCACUGAUCUUUCUACCGACUUUAAUAUCCACUGUACUUUUGGCUUCGGUUGAGAAUGAUGAAUCAGAACCCAAUGACAUGCUCAAGAAUGUCUUCAAAGUUGAAGAUCAAUAGGAUGCAGUUACUUGCCAUAAUCCCUAAUUUUUGCAUAAAUUGCCCCAAGGUGGGGUACUCAAUCUUUCGGGAUAAAUUUUCUGUUUUAUGUCUCUAACUUUUGCCUGGAUCACCCUUUCGGGUUUUCAAUCCAUCGAGACGCUCAUUUUUGCCUAAGCCUCCCUUUCGUGUUUUCAACUUAGCGAGCUAUUCUUUUCUUUUUAGGCGAAGUAUUUCUUGGUUGCAUCGGCAUUCACAGGACGCGUCAACUCUACACCAUCCAUAGUUGUAAGAAUCAAAGCACCGCCUGAAAAGGCUCUCUUAACAACAUAUGGGCCUUCAUAGUUAGGAGUCCAUUUCCCCCUAGAAUCUGGUUUAAAAGAUAAAAUCUUCUUGAGCACGAGGUCACCUUCUCUAAACACACGAGGUAUGACCUUCUUAUCAAAAGCUUUCUUCAUUCUCUGCUUAUAUAAUUGACCAUGCCACAUGGCAGCCAACCUCUUCUCUUCAAUCAAAUUCAACUGAUCAUACAUGGUCUGACACCAUUCAGCUUCUGUCAACUUGGCUUCCAUCAAGACACACAAUGAUGGGAUGUCUACCUCUACCAGGAGCACAACUUUCAUACCAUAAACAAGUGAGAAAGGGGUUGCCCCUGUUGAAGUGCGAAUGGAUGUACGAUAUUCGUGUAAAGAAAAUUGGAGCAUCUCAUGCCAAUCCUUGUAGGUCACAACCAUUUUCUGAAUGAUCUUCUUGAUGUUCUUGUUUGUAGCUUCAACAACCCCAUUCAUCUUGGGUCUGUAGGGAGAGGAAUUAUGAUGUGCAAUCUUGAAGUCUUUGCAAAGAGCUUCUACCAUAUUAUUAUUCAAGUCCGACCCAUUAUCAGUAAUGAUCUUACUUGGUACACCAUAAUGGCAUAUAAUUUGAUUCUUGAUAAACCUUACAACAACUUGCUUGGUCACAUUGGCAUAUAAUACCGCUUUAACCCACUUUGUAAAGUAAUUAAUAGCCACCAAAAUGAAACGAUGUCCAUUCGAAGCUUUGGGCUCAAUCAUAUCAAUUCCCCACAUGGAGAAGGGCCAUGGGGAGGAAAUGACGUUCAACAGUGUCGAUGGAACAUGAAUCUUAUCUACAUAAAUUUGACACUUGUGGCAUUUCUUCAUAAACUUGCAAUAGUCAGAUUCCAUUGUCAGCCAAUAGUAACCUGCUCUCAACAUCUUCUUAGCCAUAGCAUGUCCAUUGGAAUGAGUACCAAAGGAACCUUCAUGGACUUCAGUCAUCAAUAAGUAUGCUUCGUGUCUAUCCACGCAUCUGAGCAGAACCAUAUCGAAAUUUCUCUUGUACAACACAUCACCAUUCAGGUAGAAGUUGCAUGCUAAUCUUCUCAAAGUUUUCUUAUCUUUCAAAGAUGCCCCAUGUGGAUAAAUUUGACUUUGGAGAAAACACUUGAUAUCAAAAUACCACGACUUUUCAUCUCUGACCUCUUCAAUAGCAAACACAUGAGUUGGCCUAUCAAGACGCAUUACAGUCAAAUUGGGAACUUCAUUCCAGAAGUUCACCACAAUCAUAGAAGCCAAUGUUGCAAGAGCAUCUGCCAUCCAGUUUUCAUCUCGAGGGAUAUGAUGAAAUUCCACUUUUAUAAAGAAAUUUGAAAUUCUCCUUGCAUAAUCUUUGUAUGGUAUCAAACCGGGUUGAUUCGUCUCCCAUUCACCUUUGAUCUGAUUCACAACCAAAUCUGAAUCUCCAUAGACGUCAAGAGGUUUGAUUUUGAGAUCAAUGGCCUCUUCAAGCCCCAUAAUGCAAGCUUCAUACUCAUCCAUAUUAUUUGUACACUUGAAAGUCAAUCUAGCCAUAAACGGGAAAUGAGUUCCUUUAGGAGUAAUAAUCACUGCCCCAAUGCCAUUACCAUACUGAUUAACGGCUCCAUCAAAUACCAUGCCCCAACAAGAACCAGGUUUUGGCCCUUCUUCAAGCAAUGGUUCAUCACAAUCUUUCAUCUUCAAGUACAAAAUCCCUUCGUCGGGAAAAAUAAACUACAUUGACUGAUAGUCUUCAAUCGGUUGGUGAGCCAAAUGGUCAGCCAAGAUACUACCUUUGAUUGCUUUUUGAGGUCGGUAUUCAAUAUCAUACUCGGAUAACAACAUCUGCCAACGAGAAAUCCUCCCGGUUAAAGCAGGCUUCUCAAAUAUAUACUUGAUUGGAUCCAUUUUUCAUAUCAACCAAGUAGUAUGAUUCAACACAUACUGGCGUAGAUGCUUAGCAGCCCAAGCCAAUGUGCAACAAGUCUUUUCUAGCAUAGAAUAUCGAGUAUCACAGUCGGUGAACUUCUUAAUGAGGUAGUAAAUAUCAUAUUCUUUCUUUCCAGAUUCAUCUUUCUGACCAAGAACACAACCCAUAAUCCCUUCAAGCACAGUCAAAUACAUGAUCAACGGUCUUCCUUCAACAGGAGGAGACAGAAUCGGAGGCUCAAGCAGAUACUCUUUGAUACUGUCAAAAGCUUUCUGGAAAUCUUCGGUCCAAUCACAAGACUGAUCUUUCCGAAGAAGCUUGAAUAUAGGCGCACAUGUAGCAGUCAUAUGCGAUAUAAAUCUUGAGAUAUAAUUCAAGCGGCCGAGAAAACCUCUGACUUGCUUCUCAGUUUUGGGUGCAGGCGUCUCUUGUAUUGCUUUGACCUUGGCAGAAUCAACUUCAAUACCCUUCUCACUGACAAUAAAGCCCAACAACUUACCAGAACGAACACCAAAUGUACAUUUAAUGGGGUUCAAGCGGAGUUUGUACUUCCUCAAACGCUAGAAUAAAUUCAAUAAAUACUCAACACGUUCUUCUUCAUCACUGGAUUUAGCUAUCAUAUCAUCAACAUAGACUUCGAUCUCCUUAUGCAUCAUAUCAUGAAAAAGAGUAGUCAUAGCUCUCUGGUAUGUCGUACCAGCAUUGUUUACACCGAAAGGCAUCAUUCUAUAACAAAAUGUUCCUCAAGGUGUAAUGAAUGUCGUCUUCUCCAUAUCUUCGGGUGCCAUCUUGAUCUGAUUAUAACCGGAAAAUCCGUCCAUAAAUGAAAAGACUUUGAAUUUAGCUGUAUUGUCUACAUACGUAUCAAUGUGUGGUAGAGGGAAAUCAUCUUUCAGACUAGCUUUGUUGAAAUCUCUAUAAUCGACGCACAUACGGAUUUUUCCAUCCUUCUUCGGAACAGGCACAAUAUUGGCCACCCACUGCGGAAAUUCAACAGUAACAAGGAAACCGACAUCAAUAUGCUUUUGCACUUCUUCUUUAAUCUUCACUGCCAUAUCAGGAUGAGUCCUCCUCAACUUCUGCUUGACUGGCGGGCAUUCUGGAUUCAACGGCAAUCUAUGCUUCACAAUCUCAGAAUCCAAACCAGGCAUGUCUUGAUAGGACCAAGCAAACACAUCUGAAUACUCUCGAAAAAGAUCAAUCAACCCCUUCUUAACCUCUAGACACAAUUGAGACCCAAUCUUGACUUCCUUCACAUCAGCCUCGGAACCCAAGUUGACUAACUCAAUCUGCUCUUCGAAUGGCUGAAUGGCUUUUUCCUCGUGCCCAAGUAGACGUUCUUCAUCAAUCUCUUCCUCAGCCUCAAACACAAAGAAUUCAAAGUUUGGAGAAGGAGUGGGAUCAUUGUAUUCAAUGGGUUUAGAAACCAACCUGCAUAAUGAUAUGAUAUUUUGAUUUUAGAGAAGUGAAUUGUGACCAAAUAUUAUGCAUAUGAACAAUUUAUUAUUUAUUCAAUCAUGUUUUAUGUGAUUACCAUUUUCAGAAAAGCAAAAAGUAAAAAUAAAACAUCAUAGAUGUGGAUGAAUAGAAUUGCAUUUUAUUGAUGAUAAAAAUUUGAAAAUGCCCAACAAUGUUCACUUCUCCCUUAGGCAUAGGAGAAGGAUUUUCUCAAAAUAACAAAAACAAAUUACUUAGGGCGAUGGAUAAUAACAGGAACAUCAACAGCAACCCAAUUAUUACAAGCCUUUCCAUGUGUCACAAAAUUGGCGCAGUCUUCAUCUUCAUCACCCUCGACCACAGCAGCUGAGUGUUGUUCAUUACCAUGAAUGAACACUCCGCUAUGGAAACUCGGUUGCAUAUCUUCAGCUUUAACAUGAGACAACCCUCACUGGAAUCCGAAACCAGAUUUAUUCUUGUUCUCGGCGACCUCUACCAUACGGCCCCACUGCUCUGAACUGCCAUCUUCAAUAAUCUUAUGAGCAUCUUUGAAAGAGGACAUGGGUGCCCCAGUUUUCUUCACUUCAGCAAUAGAUGGAGCUUGGAACGGAGUUCCAACCUCCUCCUCAGCUUCAACAUACGAAAAAGACGACAAAUGGAUUACCAACAACACUUUCUCUCCACCCACAAUGACAAGCUUUCCAUUCUUCACAAAUUUCAAUUUUUGAUGCAGAGUAGACGUCACAGCUCCCGCCACAUGGAUCUAUGGCCUUCCCAACAAACAGCUAUAGGCCGGGUGGAUAUCCAUUACUUGAAAAGUAAUUUGAAAAUCACUCGGACCUAUCUUCACUGGAAGGUUCACUUCUCCUAUAACAGUCUUGCGAGAACCAUCAAAAGCUUUGACGAUCACGCCACUGUACCUCAUUGGGGCGCCUUGAUAUGAUAACCUAGACAGAGUUGACUUGGGGAGUACGUUCAAAGAAGAACCGGUAUCAACCAACACAUUUGACAACGCAUCCUCCUUACAGCUCAUUGAUAUGUGUAGUGUUAGAUUGUGAUUUAUGCCUUCCUCGGGAAGUUCUUCAUCACAAAAGCUCAAGUUAUUGUAGGAAGUGAUGUUAGCCACAAUGUGGUCAAAUUGAUCCACAGUUACAUCAUGCUCUACGUAAGCUUGCUCCAACACUUUUUGUAAUGCUUCUUUGUGCGCUUCAGAAUUCAUGAGCAGAGACAACACUGAAAUCUUUGAAGGAGUUUGGAGCAGCUGCUCCACCAUAUUAAAUCCAUUUCUCUCACUCAGUCUUAAUACCUCAUUAUCAUCAUUAGACUCCAAUUUGCUGGAUUCACCAGACUGACACAUUGGAGCACUAAUCGGGUUUACUACAAGUACAUCAAUCUUCUUACUAACAGACACAUCCUUUAUCCCCUCUUUAGGAAAGAAAGGUCCAAAAAUACGACCGCUACGGGUCACCUUCGUAACAUCAGCAAUGUUCACAACAGAAUUGGUUGUAGGCAACGGAACCUCUUGAUCGUUCACUAACAUGGUAGCAUUAUACUGAUACAAAACAGCUCUAUCUGAUGCAUACGGGACGGGGCCCGCUAACCGUAUUACUAAUGGCGAUAUCGAUCUAUUGGUAUUGUUACUGCUGCUACUAUCAAAUUGAAUCACUACCCGCUCCGGGGUCUUAAACACUGGUACUAUAACAUUCACAUCAUAUAUAUCCCUCGACUGUUGAAUCUGGAUUACAUUCUCAUCCAUCAACUUCUGGAUAUCUCUUUUGACGAUUGAACACCGACGGGGGUUUACACUGCAAAUCGCACAACCGUCAUGGUCGUGCUCACAAUCACUGAUUGUACACAAAGUCAUAUGCAUCUCCACCAAGGACCGACGAAUAUGUCGCACAUCGAAUACUCGGAAACUUCUUGGACAACCAUCUACUAUAUUGACAGAGGAAUUACCAUGAGCGGGCAACGGAUUGUCUUUCACAUUCGGCACACCGUCCUCAAAGGACACCAUCCCACUCUUCACUAACUUCUGGACAUCGUACUUCAAUGGAUAACAGUUUUCAAUAUCAUGAUCGGGAGCUCCUUGAUGAAAGGCACAACGGAGUUCGGCUUAUACCACCAUGGAAGUGGUUCUGGAAUUUGUGGCGGAUUUCUUGGUUGGAGUAGGUUCUUGCGAACAAAAGACAAAUACAGUUCGGCAUAUGACAUAGGAAUAGGGUCAAAAGAGACAUUCUUCCUCUCAAAAUUUUGUUGUUGUUGAUUAUUGUUGAUUAUUGUUGUUGUUGUUGUAGUUGUUUCUUCUUUGUUGUGGUUGUUGACGUUGUUGUUGAACUGACAUUGAUUGAUUGUUUGAGAAUACUGGAAUAACUGACGAAACUUGAUGAUGAUGUUGACGCGGUUGCGAAUUUCUUUUGACAUGAGGCCUCCUCUGCCUCCCCACUGAUACUGCAUUGGUUUCACCUUCCUUUUUUCUGGCAAAACUUCUCACAUACUUCUUACUUGAUGACACCUCUUCUUUAGACAGACGCCCCUCUCAGAUUCCUUCCUCUAACCUCAUCCUCAUGUUUACCAUUUCGGUAAAAUCACUGGGGGCACUAGAAAUCAUGCGCUCGUAAUAAAAUGAACUUAGGGUCUUAAGGAAAAUCUUGGUCAUCUCUUUCUCUUCCAACGGAGGAUUGAUCUGACCAGCAAGCUCUCUCCACCUCUGGGCGUACUCUUUAAAUAUCUCUUUGUCCUUUUGAGACAUAGACCUCAGCUGGUCUCUAUCAGGCACCAUGUCCACGUUGUACUUAUACUGCUUCACAAAAGCUUCACCCAGAUCAUUUAACGUGCGAAUACUUGCACUAUCCAACCUCAUGUACCACCUUAAAGCGGCACCAGUCAGACUGUCUUGGAAGUAGUGAAUCAAUAACUGAUCAUUAUCAGUUUGCAUUGACAUUUUCCUGGCAUAAAUGACAAGAUGGCUAAGUGGACAAGUAUUUCCCUUAUACUUUUCAAAGUCAGGGACUUUGAACUUCAUCAGGAUCUUGACAUUCGGUACUAAACAAAGUUCAGCAACACUCUUAACGAACAAGUCCUUUCCUCUCAACGUCUUCAAUUCCUGUUGUAGCUCAAGGAACUGAUCCUUCUUCUCAUCCAUAUUUUCAUAAACAUCUGGACCCUCAGACGGCUCGGAAUGGUAGAUGGUGUCCUUAACACGAGGCAGAGUGUGAACAACUGGAGGCGGAGCAGACAUGACCGGGCUAGAUGUCGGCUUGGAAGCAAAAGUAGGUGCAAACCCUUCAGGCAUGAAAUUCGGCGGCAUUCCCCACGGGAAUCCGGAAGGCAUAGUCUGACCAAAUUGAGUAGCAGCUGUCAUACCCCAAUUUUGUUCGGGCAUUUUAAAUUUUCAUAAAUUCGAUUUAAUUUUCAGUUUACAUCAUAUGUACAGCAUAACAUGCAUUUUAUCAUUAAUAAUACCUGAAAUAUCAGUCAAAAUUUUCAUAAAUUCGAUUUAAUUUUCAGUUUACAUCAUAUGUACAGCAUAACAUGCAUUUUAUCAUUAAUAAUACCUGAAAUAUCAGUCAGGAUAAAUUUAUUGAAAAUACAGACAAAUCGGUUGAAUAUUUCCUCAAGUACGGACAAAAUCAGCGGAUAAAAAGUUUCGAAAUUAAAAUUACAGACGCCAGUAUUAUUAAUCUACGGUUCAUGUAGUUUAACCUGGUGUGCUCGUUGUAUUUUUCAGCAGCUGUUUCAGUUGCAUUUUGACCCGCCUGAGCCUUUUAACCGGUGCAAACUCAUUUCAGAAUUUGAAGAAACGCUGUAUUUUUUCAAUAAGUAUAUUUCGCACUGAUCAUUUUAAUAUAUUCGAUUUAAUUUUUCGAGCAAAUUUUUGCCCGACUUUUAUUUAUUUUUUAUCCAUUUUAAUUUUAUUCUUGCCAAAAUAUUCGGAUUAAAUAAAUAGAAUUUUCCAUGUCCUUGUUUUAUUUUUAUCAUACUCAUUUUAGAAGUUGAGAAUUUUAUUUGAUUCAAUUGGUUUAAAUUGCUCUAAAUCAAUUAAAUCAUAUAAAAACAACAUUAUAGGCAUUUUAAUUUAUUUAAAUAGUGUGUGCUUCUUGGUGUGGUUCUUUAAUUCGAUCCAGACCAUCAAUUCGAAUUAAUCAAUGGUCCACGUUAAACAAUCCAUGUUUUUCCUAUUUCAUCCAAUCAAAAUGUAGAAAUUAAAUAAAUUGGCUAAAAAAAUUGUGUCUUCCAAGGACAAAAAGUCAGCUAACCUCCUACGGAUAUAAAGAGAUAGAAAAUAAAAAAGGGAGGCAUACAUUUCCAUUGGCCACUCACAGAUUAACGGAUGCUCUCACCUCCAACGGUUGAAAUAUAAAAAUGAAAUAGAAUGUGAAAAAGAAAAAAGGUGGAUUCACGUUCACCACUAGUCAUAAAGAUAAUAAAAAGGAAAUAAAAAAUAAAAUAGAGGAACAAUAUUGUUUCUCUUCUUCCCCAAAACGCACGCCUCUCCAUUCAUUAACACCAGACAAACUCACCUUCACUUCCACAUCAUCAGCGUCGCGCAAACCAACGUCGCAAACACUACCGACAUCAUCGCGUCCAAAAAAAACAUUCACCAAUCACCACCGCGCGCAUCCAUCCUGCUUCCUUCUCCGUCCAACAAUCCCUCUCCAUCACAACCCAACACAUCUCCGCCGCUCUCACUAACCGUCCCGACAACACAACCACUCACUGCCGCGUCUCUUCCCGACCACAACGCGAACCCUCCACCUAACACCAUUGCCUCCCUCCCUCGCCGCCGGAAACCCCAUUCUCCUCCCGACGAUCUACUAUCACCCACCAACCAAACCCUUACGUCCGUGCUUCAUAGCAGAAGUAAACCUUUCGCCUUGCAAAUCGACGAUGUUGUCCAUGCCGCCGUACCUCUGGUUCCCGUCACGUCAUCCUCCGCACGGCCUACCAUAAAUCCCCGUCAAGCGUACUCCAGUUCAAUUUCUUCGCAGCUUCAUGGUCACUUUGCAGCAGCAUCGGCGGUUUCAAACACAACAAUGACUUAAUCCGCAACAACUACGGUAAUACAUACAUUGCCACGAAUCCGUUACCACCUGUGUUUGUGUCGUAAUUGUUUCCACCAUUGAUAUUGAGUAAAAUUGGUAGGUUUUUUGAUGAGUAGCAUAUGCAUUGUCUUGGCUGUGUGGUGAUGUGAAUUUGAUUGUUUAUAUUUCUAAAAAAUUUAACUAUGAAAAUGAAUUGCAAUAAGUGAAGUUUUGAAUCAUGAUUUCAUUUCCUGCGUUUGUAUUGUUUGAGCUGAUAGAGAAAGGGAUGUUGGAUUUGUUAAGUUUGAUUUAAGUUGUUACUUUUCAUUUCUGCUACUUCACAAAAGGGAAACGAACAUUUUUUUAACUCUCAGGUUAAUUCCUUUUAAUUACCCAAAGCAAUGCAAUGCGGACCAAUUAAAAGAAUUUAUUUUGUAUAUUAUAAUUAUCUAUAUUUGGUUACUAUUGAAAUGAAAAGAAAUUAUAGAAACCGCAUAAAAAUGUGUGUUUGGAAAAGAAUAGAAAAUCAAUUAUUUCCUUUCAUUCUUCAAUUUCGUUCAUUAAUGUUGUUAAGUGGAUGCAAGUGGAAAAGUGUAGCCUGUUUUUUUAUUAUUCACUACAUUAUUUUCUAACUUUUAUUUACUUAUUAGAUUUAGAGAAAGAAUUAAAGUGAUGAUUGUUAGGUUUAUUAUUUGUUCUCACCUUCCAUUUGCAAUAAUAAGUGUCGAAAUAAUUUAUAAGAGUUAUUGUAAUGUAAUGUUGGUGAUCGUUUGAUUCUAUUACGUUUAAUCGAGACUUUAACCGCGGAUCCGGCAAUUUCAUGUCGGUAUAUCGCCAAAUUUCAAUACAUUAAUAGAAUAUUUUUCACCGCGUUUAGAUUUCGCGAAUAACGUUAAAUGUUGUUAUCUCGCAUAAACCGGUUCGAGCACACCGAUUCAAUUCAAUCAAGUAAAGCAACUUUAUUAUCC
rnacentral:lncRNA from 1 species